AACCCGACUCCACGAAGUUGGAUUCGCUAGUAAUCGCGCAUCAGCCAUGGCGCGGUGAAUACGUUCCCGGGCCUUGUACACACCGCCCGUCAAGCCAUGGGAGCCGGGGGGCGCCUGAAGUGCGUGACCGCAAGGAGCGCCCUAAGGUAAAACCGGUGACUGGGGCUAAGUCGUAACAAGGUAAC
rnacentral:rRNA from 1 species